rnacentral:rRNA from 1 species
GACGAACGCUGGCGGCGUGCCUAAUACAUGCAAGUCGAACGCAGUGGGGACGGGUGAGUAACACGUGGGUAACCUCCCAUCAGAGGGGAUAACACUUGGAAACAGGUGCUAAACUGAUACUGAUGGAUGGACCCGCGGUGCAUUAGCUAGUUGGUGAGGUCACGGCUCACCAAGGCCACGAUGCAUAGCCGACCCGAGGGGGGGGAGGGCAACACUGGGACUGAGGAACGGCCCAGACUCCUAAGGGAGGGAGCAGUAGGGAAUCUUCGGAAAUGGACGAAAGUCUGACCGAGCAACGCCGCGUGAGUGAAGACGGCCUUCGGGUUGUAAAGCUCUGUUAAUCGGGACGCGGUACCGGAAUAGAAAGCCACGGCUAACUACGUGCCAGCAGCCGCGGUAAUAC